AAGUCAGUUUGCUUUCGGCCCUUCAAGUUCCUCCCUAUCUCUGCUUUGGCUCUUUGGACUCCGUUGUUGCAGAUGCUUCAUCUUAAAUAGAAGCCGAUGAUGUGCUGAAGUCCUUAAGGAUUUUGUGAGCAAAUCGGCGAGCUGUUCCUUUCGAGGUGACAUGCUUUGUUUCAACGAAGCCCUUUUGAACCUAGUUGCGUACUAUGUGGCAGUCGAUGUCAAGAUGUUUCGUUCGUUUGUGAAAAACCGAAUUUGCUACGAUAUGCUCGGCUGCUUUGUUGUCGCAGUUCAAAGUUACGGUGCAGGCCCAAGGAAGAUGCAGAAGCCUGUGAGUGAUUUGCGGGUUAUCGGGCACGAUACCCAGUCUGAGUCAGAAAAGGCUUGAAUUUUGAAGUCAUUCUUUCUUGGGAAGAAGAUGCCUUGCUCCGGAUAUUGCUUUAGGUACCUAACAACGUGUAGUGCGGCGUCGAGGUGCGGUCGUCUGGGUUUUUGCAUGAACUGACUGAGGUAUUGAGUGGAGUACGUUAUGUCGGACCCGUUGAAAUUGCGAUAAAGUAAACGGCCGAUUAGGCGUCUAUAUCUCUCCGGAUCUGAUUCCUUCUUUUGACCUAGCUAUAUCGACUCCGAGGAAGUAUCUUGCUUGGCCGAGGUCCUUAACUGUGAAGGCUUCAUUUAUGGUGCUUUUGACUCCGCAAAUCUCUUCUUCAUUAGGACCCGUGAUAAGUGAGGUGGACAUGAGGAAAUGAAGCUCAGACAUGGGUUGUUUAGUGGUAUGGGCGACAAAGUCUUCCAUCUAGGCGGACCUGUUUCUCACCUUGAUGCUCUUCCUCACUUCAGACUCCUGGGGAGUGUUAGUUGGUAAUAGAGUUUCUUCUCUUCUUUGUGGUUGUUUUUCAGGUGUGUUUACUGUGUCGUCACUUGGUAUUGGCAGUGGUGUGUCAUGGUAAUCUGGUUUAGGGUGUUCUGUUUCAUAUGGGAAAAUGUGUUCAUGAAAUAUGACAUCCCUUGACAAAAAUAUUUUUCUGUUUGUCAUAUCAUAUAAUUUGUAAGCCUUUGCAUCGGGUGCAUACCAUAAGAAAACACACUUCAAAGCCCUAGGUUCAAACUUAUCCUUUUGAGGGAUGACAUUUGUGGCAAAACAUAGACAACCAAAGGUUUUUAGCUUUGAGUAAUUUGACUGUUUUUUGUAUAGAAUUUCAUAAGGAGUUUUUCAUUUUAAAACAGAGGUUGGUAAAACGUUUAUUAUGUUUGUGGCUGUGAGUAUGGUUUCAUCUCAAAAACUUUUGGGUAGUUUUGAUUCAAACAUCAAUGCCCUAGCAAUUUGUAAUAGGUGCUUAUGUUUUCUCUCCACCAUCCCAUUCUGCUGUGGUGUAUAUGUACAGGUUUUUUGAUGCAUGAUGCCCUUUUCUUGGAAAAUUUUUUUUGCAUGAAAUGUUUAUGAACUCAGUGCCAUUGUCUGUUCUAACUACUUUGAUUGUUUUCUAAAAUUGAUUUUGUAUUAGAUUGUAAAAAUAUUUCAAGAUAUUUGGUAUACUCGUUUUUUCUUUUAAUAAGUAAGUUCAAGUGGCUUUUUAGAAAUUAUCAACUAUGGUUAAAAAAUAAAGCGCACCAGAGGUACAAUUAACCAGGUAUGGUCCCUAAAGGUCAACAUGUAUUAAACUGAAAAUGUCACUGGUAUUGAUAAAACUUUUAGAAAAAGAUAAGCGCUGUUGUUUUGUUAAGGGACAUAUUUCAUAAUCAUGUAAAGCUGCACUGUCUGGUAACUUUAGACUGGGAAUGUGGAUUAAUUUUUUUUGUAGAUGUGUGGCCGAGUCUUUUGUGCCAUAGUUGUAGUUGUUUUCUUGGGUGUGGUUGAUGUAUGCUUUGUUAGGGUCAAUGUCUUCACUCAGGGUGUAUAGGCCUUUCAUUAUUGUUCCCAUCCUCAAUAUUUCCUUAGUUGUCAAAUCCUACACAAAACAAUGGUUGGGAUAAAAGAAAAUGUAAGUAUUUAUAGCUUGGGUUAGUUUUCUAACAGAAAUAAGGUUGCAAGUGAAUUUUGGUAUAUAAAGAACAUCCUGUAGAAUUAAGUUGUCACACAGUUUUAUGGUCCCUUUGUGGGUUGAAUGACUCGUGAUUCCAUCUGAUAACGAGACAGACACUGCAGGUUCUAGUUUUACGGGUUUUGAAAGCAUUUUAAAAUCAUGGCAUAUGUGUAAUGCGGCACCUGUGUCUAUUAUCCGAGUUCCUAUAUCAUUAAAGGUAUGCAAAAAACUGCAUUUAAGUUGCUUACCAGGGGGGCCAGAGUAGCCCACGCACCUUGCUGAUUCUGCCAUGUUUUCUCAUUGGUUCUUCAAAUACUUGGUGAUCUCUUGUUGUAUGAGUGUGGACAUUUCUGUGCCCCAGUUUGUGUUGGAUACUUCUAUUUUGGUGUUAUCAGUCAUUGCAUUAGCCUUUUCUUUGUUCAUUUUCCCUUCGAGUUCUGUAAACCAUUCUAGGUAGUCAUGGAGCUUGAAGCAAGUGUCCUUUGUGUUUUUGCAGUAAGUGCAUGCCCUGCUGUCCUUUUCCUUUUUCCGGUUUGGGAAUUUUGGACUGUCUUUCAAGUUGGUGUAAAAUGCAGUAGGUGACCCCUCAAAUGAGUUGCUAUUGUGUACUUCCCUCUGUUUUUUAACACUAAUCAUCAUGGAAUAAACUCUAUUUACUCUCGAUAAGGGUUUCAUGAUCAAUAUUUGGUUUCUAACAUGGUCAUAUGAGUCAUUAAGACCCAUUAAAUAUUGGAUUAGGUUGUCGGUAUUAUUUAUUUCACUGUGUUGUGUUGCAACAUGGCAUCUGCAAGCAGGUGAGGGCCUUAGGUGUGUUAACCCAUCCCACAGCCUUUUGAUUUUUGUGUAAUAGGCUAUGACAGAGAGGUUAGAUUGCGUGAUGGAACUUAUUUCGCAUUUUAGCUGAUAUAACAGAGGUCCGUUGCUUUCACCA